GGCCCUGAAGCGCAAUGGAUAGCGCGUUGGACUUCUAAUCCAAAGGUCGUAAGUUUGAAUCCUACCUUGGCUG